UGUAUAUAUAUUUAUAGACAUAUAUAUUGACAUUUCCUUCCUAGUGUUGAUAUUCUGAUGACCAGGACUGCAAAUUUAUUUUGUGAAAUUUUUUUUUGUCAUCUUUAAAUUGCUGUGCUUGAACCUGACUUUCUGCAGCUGGAAACUGCUGUGGUGGUGCUGGCAUGGUGCUUAGCCUAGCAGCCCAGAAGACUGUUUUCUGCACCCUUAUCUUUGCAAGGUGGCAGAAGAUUUAGCCACUGGGCUACCUCUUGACUCCCCACCACAACUUCUUUAGAUAGCCAUCUGCAGAUGAGUUGAUUCCAUUUUUCAGUUAUU